rnacentral:rRNA from 1 species
CGGCCCUACGGGGCGCAGCAGUAGGGAAUCUUCCACAAUGGACGAAAGUCUGAUGGAGCAACGCCGCGUGAGUGAAGAAGGGUUUCGGCUCGUAAAGCUCUGUUGGUAGUGAAGAAAGAUAGAGGUAGUAACUGGCCUUUAUUUGACGGUAAUUACUUAGAAAGUCACGGCUAACUACGUGCCAGCAGCCGCGGUAAUACGUAGGUGGCAAGCGUUGUCCGGGUUUAUUUG